rnacentral:rRNA from 1 species
UACGGGGGGGGGCAAGCGUUGUUCGGAAUUACUGGGCGUAAAGGGCCAGUAGGCGGCCAACUAAGUCGGAUGUGAAAUCCCCAGGCUCAACCUGGGAACUGCAUCCGAUACUGGAUGGCUUGAAUUCGGGAGAGGGAUGCAGAAUUCCAGGUGUAGCGGUGAAAUGCGUAGAUAUCUGGAGGAAUACCAGUGGCGAAGGCGGCCUCUUGGCCUGUUCUUGACGCUGAGGCGGACGCGAAAGCUGGGGGGAGCAAACGGG